GGAUCACCAUAGUAACUUGCAAGCAACUCACUGUAUUUUGAUGUUAGACUAUCUAAGUUUAUAAUUCAGUGAUGAAAGAUUUUUGGAUACCGUCAAGUACUGGUCAACUCAAUAUGUGAGUCAAGAUGGAAUUGACCCUUCUGAAUUAGUAGAGUUAAUGUAUCAAUGUAUUUUAAUUUAGCAAAACCUAAGCUUGGAUAAUCUAUGUGAUGGAUUUAAAAAUUAAAAUAUAAUGUGGAUGAUUUAUCUAAGAUUGACAGUUAAAUCCUAGGUCAUCUUCGAGCAUUAGAGUCAAAUGAAUUAUACGGUAACCAUAUGUCAAUAGGUUC
rnacentral:lncRNA from 1 species